rnacentral:lncRNA from 1 species
AGAAGAAAGACCAUUGCCCUAAAGUCAAUCACUCCAAAACAACAAACUGAGUCGGAAGAUUCAGAUGAUGAUGAUGAAUUUGAUGAAGAAGGAAUGGCUAUGCUUGGAAGAAAAUUCAGAAAAUUUAUGAGAGGUAAGAAUAGAUUUCAUAAAAAGAAACCCUUCUUCAAAGGUAGCUCAAGCAAAGAAAAGGGUAAGGA